GCAUCGGUGGUUUAGUGGUAAAAUUAGCCGUUGCCAUCUAUUAAAGAUCAAUUCGGCUAGCCCCGGGUUCGAUUCCCGGCCGAUGCA
rnacentral:tRNA from 1 species